AUGGGACGGCAGUGGUCCGCCGGCAAGCUCGUUCUGAUCCUGGACGCAGUACAUUGGAAUCCUGAAGCACCACCACGAACGCUACCGCACAUGCGCCUGUGGUGCGGUAAGGCACCACCCUGUUGUGCCAGCAGCCAACUCCGGCGUGUCAGCUUAGUUAUCCUCAUCAAGCCACAACCUUGA
rnacentral:rRNA from 1 species